AUCACCACCACACUUAGAAAAAAGAAGCUAAAAUUAAAAACCCUAACGCCUCUUCUUGUUCUCCCUUGAAGCUGCUGUCCCUAAUCUAAAACCAGGUCCGACUGAUCUCUUCCUUGACGAACGGCAAUGACUCUCUCUGGCCGUCAUCGCCCACAGUCCUCCGAGUCAGGUCCAGCAGAUUGAUGACACCAGGAGACACACACAAGCGCAUCAGCAAAAAGAAGAGGGCAAAUCAGAGACCCAUGUACAUUGGCGAGGCUGAGUAGGACACUCUAGUGGAGUACUGGGAAACAGAACCAGAAAAGAAGAAGAGAAAGAAUGCUGGAAACCACUUAUCUAAUCAUGAUGGCAUAGGGGUUCACAAGCAUUGUGUAUGUCCUCGACGUUUUUUGCAGAUUGAGCAUGAGAUGAUGAUUGAUUCUGGUUUGGAUGAAGCACCAGCCUUCACUGAUCUUGUGCGGAGGACACACUGACGCAAAGAUGUAAUUUUCACGGAAGUGCUGAUCUCUGUUUUGGAGAAUAACUUCAAGCGACUCAACACCAAUGUUUAUGGUUAUAGACGAGCUGGUUGCAUCACGACAAGCUCUUAUUCUGUUAAUGUAGUCUCUUGGAGUUAGACAACCCUCUGUUGCUGCUACUCCUGCUACAACUUCUGCUUCUGCUCUGAUGCAGAUUCUACAACUGCUGCACCUACUCCAGGUUCAAACCAAGACAACUUAGAUGCCUGAUGUGCAUCAUUAGAUAUUUAAAUUAUAAGCUAUGAUGUUUAUAGCUUUUAUGUUAAACUUUCGAACAGUUAGACUUUUAUUUUGUAAGUCUUUUUGGUAAUAUGUAAGACAAGAAGAACAAUUAUUUAGUAAGCUCUUUUGGUAAUAUGUAAGAUAAGAUUACUUAUGAUUAUGUUAAAA